GGGAAACAGAGUUUCCUCAUCUCAACCCUAAUUUCAUUCUAUUACAUUCAAAAAUCAAAGAAGAAAUUCAAUUAGGAUUCAAUCCUAAGCUAGAAUCUUGAUCACUAACCUUAGGAGAUCAAAAGGCAAUUUGGGUGGAUCGUCUAGUAACCAAGGCGGAGCGGAUAAUCGGUUGAAAGGAAAGCUUUAAAGGUAACUAUAUUUACUAGACGGAUGGCGAUCAAGCAAAGGAAAGAACCGAAUACACACUUAAUUGAAGCUUCUGCGACUAAAUCACAACUAUUGUUACUAAACUCUUUGGGGUUGUUUUGUUCAACUUUUUAAAUAUUGAACUAAUGCUUUGCAAGUUAAGUAUGUAAUAGUAACAUAAAAUGUUCUAAAACUUUGUAAACUUGGUUUAAAGGUUA